UACGAACCGUACAAACGUUAUUCGGAAUCACUGGGCUUAAAGGGUGCGUAGGCGGCCAUGUAAGUGAGGUGUGAAAUCCCUCGGCUCAACCGAGGAACUGCGCUUCAUACUGCAUGGCUUGAGGGAGACAGGGGUAAGCGGAACUGAUGGUGGAGCGGUGAAAUGCGUUGAUAUCAUCAGGAACACCGGUGGCGAAAGCGGCUUACUGGGUCUCUUCUGACGCUGA
rnacentral:rRNA from 1 species